AAUUUUUGCUUUGAGGCCCUUCUGAUGAGGAUGCUGCUCCUGUUGGAAGCCAGUUGGGUUUGCAGACUCUGGGUUGCACACUGUGCAGCACUUCAAUAGCAGAGCUGCUCCAAUCCCUCAAUUCCAUGGAGAAAUUGAACGCGUUUUUAUAAAAUCCUGGUUCUGGUUUUGGCCAGCUAAAACAACUGGCCUGUCUGCACAGCUCCAACCUGCAGAGGUGCACGUUCUUAAAUCAAACAGCUCCUGAAUGAAGCCAGGUUAUUCCCUCUACAGGGCAGGAG